CAGACUGGAUUCCCUAUAUCGCGAAACAGCACUUGCUGGGUCCUAACUUCAACCUAGAAUGUGUGUCUGGGAAUGACGUGAGUCGCACCAACGUCCCCGAAAUCCGUGUGGCCUACCGCUAUGACACACCGGUUGGGGAGCUGAGAUCAA